UACGUAGGGGGGUAGCGUUGUCCGGAAUCAUUGGGCGUAAAGAGCGUGUAGGCGGCUCGGUAAGUCCGCUCUGAAAGCCCGGGGCUCAACCCCGGGAGGCGGGCGGAUACUGUCGAGCUAGAGUCCGGAAGAGGCGAGUGGAAUUCCUGGUGUAGCGGUGAAAUGCGCAGAUAUCAGGAGGAACACCAAUAGCGAAGGCAGCUCGCUGGGACGGUACUGACGCUGAGACGCGAAAGCGUGGGGAGCAAACAGG
rnacentral:rRNA from 1 species